rnacentral:lncRNA from 1 species
UUGGAGAAGGUUUGGAAGUAGAUGCUGUUUAACUUGACGAAUGGGCAGAAUAAUCUCACAUCUGUCAGGAUUGGCAUCAGUAUGUGACAAUCUUUUUCGAAUUGUCCAUGGAUUGAGGGGUGCUUGGACUUCUUCCCUUUCAUUUGCGGGGAUGUUUAGAUUAAUCUCCCUUUCACCUCUACCUUCUUCCAUAAUAGCCAAAAGAAAUACCUUUC